rnacentral:rRNA from 1 species
GUCUCUUUGAGUUUUUUUAAUGAAGAGUUGGGCCUGCUCGGUGAUUAAUAUUUAACAGCUGCGGUAUUAUAACUGUACUAAGGUAGCAUAAUAAUUUGCUCUAUAAAUUGGGGCUAGAAUGAAUGGUUUGACGAGAAUUUAACUGUCUCUAUUUUAUUUAUUAGAAAUUAAUUUUUAUAGUGAAAAAGCUUUAAUUAUUUAAAGGGACGAAAAGACCCUAUUGAGCUUUUGUUAUUAUAUAGAUAUAUAUAUAUAUAUAUAUAUAUGUAUAUAUAUAUAUAUAUAUAUGAUUUAUUUGUAAAUAACUUUGGUUGGGGUGAUCAAGGAAUAAAAAUUAAUUUAAAGUGUUUUAUUAACUUCCUUAAUUUUAAAUUUAGUUGAAGAAUAAACCAAGUUUUUUGCUUAGAAGAUAAGUUACCAUAGGGAUAACAGCGUAAUUUUUUUUGAGAGUUCAUAUUGAAAAAAGAGAUUGCGACCUCGAUGUUGGAUUAAAAUUGACCUUAAGGUGUAGAGGCUUUAUUAGGUAAAUCUGUUCGAUUUUUAAAAUUUU